GCGGAGUGGAAAGAUCGUAGAUUUGAAUGGGGACAAAAUACUAAGAACUAGCAACCAACCGUUUGCGAAAGCACAGGGACAAACUCUCAUUUUCCAGGCACACGCUCUAGGCCGGACACCCAAGGCAUUCUCAGGAUUUUCAUCAGUUUUCACAACACAGUUCUAGUGUAAGGCCAGAAGCAUUAUCAGAUGGUGACGCUCCUACCGGCCCUUCAGUUCCUCCAGUCUCUGACAGCGGCUCUCCAGUGAUAGCAGAGGUGGACCUGCAGGUCCAGGCCCACCAGCUACUGUUCUCACGCAGGAACCACAGAGCCAAACGCCCCCGGCACGUCUCGUCAUUUUGGUUUUGCCACAGAAGGAGCAGGUGUAGUCCACGUGCUGGCUGAUUUCAAUUUUCCGCGCCAUUUUCCUGAGAGAGGCACUGGGACGGGUCCGUAUUUGCCCACGAUUCUAACCUCCUCGGUGCGUUUCACCAUGUCGCGGCAAACCAGGUCCUGGCCGGAGAGCUGUGAGGCGCAUUCUUAACCAUUGGACCCCCAGGGAGGUCCCUGUCUCUCUGAUAAUAGACAGGUGGGAGGUGAUAGCCCAUUCUGAUUUUCUCUUUACAAUUUUUAUUGGAGUAUAGUUGAUUUACAAUGUUGUGUUAGCUUUAGGUGUACAGCAAAGUGUGUCAGUUAUGUAUAUCCAUGUAUCCGUUUUAAGAUUAUUUUCCCAUAUAGGCCAUUAUAGAGUGUUGAGUAAGGUUCCCUAUGCUAUACAGUAGGUUCUUAUCCGUUAUCUGUUGUAUAUAUGGUGGUGAGUGAGCAGUGAGUUAUCUAUUUUAUAUAUAGUAGUGAGUAUAUGUCAAUCCCAGUCUCCCAAUUCAUCCCUCCCCUCCCCAUUCUGAUUCUGAUUUACAUUUCUCUGAUGAUUAGAGUUGUUGAACACCUUUUCAUGUACUCAAAUGUUGGCAUUUGUAUGUCUUCUUAGAAAAAAAUGUUCAGAUCUUCUGUCCAUUUUACAAUUACAUUGUUUUUUG
rnacentral:lncRNA from 1 species